rnacentral:rRNA from 1 species
UACGGAGGGGGCUAGCGUUGUUCGGAAUUACUGGGCGUAAAGCGCACGUAGGCGGCUUUGUAAGUUAGAGGUGAAAGCCCGGGGCUCAACUCCGGAAUUGCCUUUAAGACUGCAUCGCUAGAAUUGUGGAGAGGUAAGUGGAAUUCCGAGUGUAGAGGUGAAAUUCGUAGAUAUUCGGAAGAACACCAGUGGCGAAGGCAGCUCGCUGGGACGUGACUGACGCUGAGACGCGAAAGCGUGGGGAGCAAACAGG